GCAACCGGGAGCAGAACAUCGCGGAUGCCAUCGACCUUCUCCCGCGCCUCACGACAAGUAUUGACAUGACUAUUAUGUUCAGGAAGAUUGAUGACUUUGAGUUCACCCGAGAGCGUGCCAUAUUUGAUCUUCUGGAUAUCCCACUAUACCAUGGAUGGAUAGUGGACCCUCAACUGCACCAUCUAAAUUUCGAUUUACAACGUCCAAUAACUGUUCUGAUCUUUCUCUUGUCCUUUGGUGGUUGUUUCUCUCUGCACGAUUAGCAAUCAGCUAAGCCUGUUCAAUAAGGCACAGGUACGUAAAAAUGAAGAUAAUUGCCAAGUGGAUCAGAAAUCUGAACCAAUAUGUUUGGAUGAACUUGAUCCUAUCAUUUGCCCUGAUGCAGGUCAGCUCUUACCUUUGUUUCUUCUCUAAUGGGCUUCAUUGUGUACCGAGUUACUAACUUCGUUGAGGUUUUAGUAACUUGCUUUAUUUGAUGAUUAUUGGAUGAUGUAUUU